CAACUUUCAAUAGGGGGUAAUUUUGUCCAAAAAUAAAACCAAAACAAAUAACAGCUAAAAACAGCUGCUAGCACACCUGGACACCCAACAUCUAACAGCUUCUUUUUUUUCUCAGUACAAACAGGUUGAACUAAUUGUUAGAAGUCAAACAGACAUCGAUUGGCCCCAAUGACUAAGCCAAACACCCUCCCUCCUUUCCAAUAUAUGACCUCAUCAACUAAUAGAAAAGAAAAUAAGGAUUAUGUGAGACAACAGGAAUGUUCUCCUGAAUUUGAAAAUAACAAUAAUCACUAAUUUUGCCCAACCAACUGAUAAUGAUGUUCUUAAAGAGCUCAUAACCUGAUUUGUAGCAUAAGUAAUUGGAG
rnacentral:misc_RNA from 1 species